CAGCAGCCGCGGUAAUACCGGCGGCCCGAGUGGCGGUCACUAUUAUUGGGCUUAAAGCGUCCGUAGCCGGGUUGGGAAGUCCUCCGGGGAAUCUGGCCGCUUAACGGUCAGAAUGCCGGAGGAUACUCCCAGCCUAGGGAGCGGGAGAGGCCGAGGGGAUUCCCGGAGUAGGGGUGAAAUCCUAUAAUCCCGGGAGGACCACCUGUGGCGAAGGCGCUCGGCUGGAACGCGUCCGACGGUGAGGGACGAAGGCCAGGGGAGCAAACCGGAUUAGAUACCCGGGUAGUCCUGGCUGUAAACGAUGCGGACUUUGUGUCGGACAAGCUAUGAGCUUGUCCGGUGCCGGAGGGAAACCGUUAAGUCCGCCGCCUGGGGAGUACGGCCGCAAGGCUGAAACUUAAAGGAAUUGGCGGG
rnacentral:rRNA from 1 species